CUUCCACGCCGUGUCUGUUUCUCUAUUCACUGAAAGAGGAAGAGCUAGGGGAGGUCGGAGAAAACGCUGAGGAGACCGACGGAUCGAGGAGGCCGGGGAAGCUGCCGGCACCGGCGGGCAGGGUACGUCACCAGUUUGCCGAUAGUUCGCCUUCCUCAGUUCCCGACAAGCUUUUUCUGCUCGGCACCAUGGUCGCUCCGUGUUUUUGGAGCUUUUGAUAAUAUGCGGGGAGGUUUGAUUUUGGGGAUCCAGAUCUGUGAGAACGUAGGGGGGUUGAUUCUGGGCGUCAGAUUUCUUAUUUUGCGAGGUGCGAGGUGAGCGGGGUGUGUUUUGGCUGAAAUUUCCCCAUUUAUUAUGGUUACCAGGAUGAGAUAAUUUGCAGUCCCACUCUUAGCUACCUUUUGAGCACAUGAGUAGGUCAAAUCCAGGUUUGCGAGUCACAUAUUAAGGGGAUUUCCGUAUGUUUCGCAUGUGAUUUUUGUGCUGUUCUGCAAAGUGGAGAGACUCUGAUGGGUAAGUCAGUGCUACUUAAUUUCAUGUCACACGGAAUCACUUUAGUUCUUUAAUUCAUGGUUUAUUCUGUCUUGUUUCCCCAUGAACUGAACAUAAUUACUUAUUUGGCAUUGAGCAGUGAGCAAAUAUGUUCAUAUGUGAUACAGGGAUAUGCCAUCAGUGAGCAUAUGUUCCGAAGUUCUGAGAGUGCAUUGGAUGAUUUGGUUUGAACCAUUGCUUCAGUAUUUGCAUAUGAAGGUAAAUUUAAUCCCCUUAUGGUUAUUCAGUGUCCGACCAUGUCUAAUCCAGUGUUGAGAGCCACGAGCAAAACAACGCAUCAAGUGAGGAAGUACCAAAAUCUGAUUUUUAUCCAUCCGUUAGCUAUAAAUUUCCUCUAAAUUGUAGAAAAACCGGUGCUGUCAAGGAUUUUGAAGAGGAUCCUGCAGGUGCCCUUGGGGAUGUAUUCAAACUACCAGCAAUGCUGAGGAACACGGCGACGUAGUCCACUUAUCAUUUGUUGAAGCCUGCCAUGUACACUUGAGGCGUUAGCCUAUGACGUCUACGAGGAUCGUGUGGCGGGCAUCCACGCCCACUUGGAGUAAUGGGUUAUCAUGCCGGCGGGAGUUUCCUCUGUCACUAAGUUCUGUUUUCUCUUUGACCAGUCCUCAAUUAUCAUUCUUCAGCUUUCAUUUUCCUCAUUAUGCUCAGUUUCUUCAGUCCCUCAUUAUCAUUUGUUCAGUCAUACCAGUCACCAUUCUAGUAUCCCAUCCUCUCAGUUUACCUCUUAUUUCUUCAGUUUAGCCCAUUCUUGGUCUUAUUUGUUCAGUCAAUCUUCUCUUAGUAUUAUCAUUCUUAGUCUAUCAGUUUAGCAAAUAUUUGCUCAAUCUUCUUUCUUUAGUUUAUUGUGUAUUGUCAGUCUUGUUUGCUCAGCCAGUCUUCUAUCAGUCUUAUCUUCAGUUUUAAGUAUUCUUCAGAUAUUAGUCUUUCUAUAAAUUAUCAUUAACUCAGGCAUUCAGUUUUUCAGUCUUAGUCUUCGUUCUCAUUUUUUAGCUUUGAUUCUCUCAUAUUUUUGGAGUUUCGUUAUUUCCCUUCAUUCUUUGAUUCUCUAAGUUGUCUCAUUUUUGUUCAUUCCUCUUUGCUUAGUCCUUUCUUCUUCAGUUCAUCUAUGUCUCUUUCUUCAGUUCAUGUUUGUCUCUUUCAAGCUUUUUCUUCAUUCUUCAUUAUUUAUCUUCUCUCUUGGAUUCCUCUUUGCUCAGUCAUUCCUUCUCCAGUUCAUCUAUGUCAUUUUAUUACUUUCUGUUCUUUAUUUGCUCAAUCUUGCCUUCUUCAUUAUCUCAGUUUCUUUCUCCGUUUUAUGAUUAGUAUUUUCUGUUCACCGUGUGCUCCCUCGACUGCGCGGAAGAAGAUGAUGACAACCAUGGCCAUUUGUUAGUCAUCACCAUGGGUACUAGAAGCUAAUUCCAAGAGUUGCUGUACAACGCUGUAGAAGUUUGGACAUAACAGAAAAUGACGGGUAUGCCACACCACCCAGUUUUUUCCGGUGUAGAACUCUCACAUUCCAUUAGCUUUCGUCGGCAGAGUCGCUGAACAGAACACGAAUUACAGCAACAGGGGGUUAUCUAACCAAACCUGGUAAUAUUUUUGACCCCCACCUGCACCUAAUACGGCCAGCACAUGAGCUGCCUUGUUACAGUUUCGUGGUUCAUAAAUGAUCUCAUACUUGCUGAAACACGUACGUAGCUGGAACUUUGCCUCACAGAGCACCUAGUGGCGACAGGUCAUAUUUGUUGGACUUGAUGGCCAGCACGAGUACUUGAUAGCAAAGACAACCUGACCAAUUCCCAUCUGGUCAGCGAUCUGGAUAGCUUGCAGCAAGGCAUUCAGUUCAGAGAGGAGAGGUUCAGCAGCGUACUGAAGAUAACCGACAUCCAUGAAAAUGGUGUCACACUCAUUGUCUCUAGCGAUGGCACACCACCCAGUUUUACUAUGUGUGCCUAUUAGUGAUACUCAGUGCUAGGUAGAGCUAAUUCCAAAGUUGCAGUCUAUUAGUCACCUAAGGCUGUCUAUGCAUUCUAGAGUUGUAGUCUAUUUCUCAAUUUCUCUGCAUUGUAGUUUUUAGGUUAUCAUAUAGUCACCUUUUUUUGUUAGUGUAAAUCUGAUUCAGUGUGAGUAGUGAUCUUAGUAUUCAGUGCAAUUUUUAGUACAUGACUACCUGUAUUUUGCUCAUUAGGUACCCUAUUUUCAGAAAUGACUGCAGCCUUCUAUAUUUUUGUACUCAUCAGUGGUAAGAUGCUUGGCUAUGGGCUUUAUUUCACUUAAUCAUGAGGGUUUUUGUAUUUUUUUCAUAAUACUGUCGACCAUUUCUAUGCAGAUAAAAACAAUUAAUAGAGGGCUACAUUUCUAGAUCAAGAAUUAUGCAGAUAGAUGUACUGGCAAGGAGGUGUGCGGUGGUGAAAAACAUGUGCAGAGAGUGGAUGAGAUCCAGAAGUUUUUGUUGCACAUCUUUGGAUCUCUCUCUUUCUUUCCCCAAUGAUCCUCGUCUAGUUUCCCUGUUUUGGUGGCCGUCCUCUUUGGUUCCGGUGUAUUUGCGUGAGGAGAAAGAAGAGAGAUGUUGACGUGGUGGUAGUUCGUAGACAGGCCCAGAAAUAGGAGGCCCAUUUUUUUGUUGUUCGCAUGAACUUUCCUUUUUUUUCUAGUCCAUGUUUUUAAUUGCAAGGCGGGAAUUGAUUAAGUGAAAGGUAGUAGAGAUUGAAAUAACUGGACAGAAAACUGGACUCAAGUGUAAUGAAUGGAUUGGUUUUUUCCAACUCCCGGACUGAUUGGAAUGAGGAUGGAAGCGGGGAAAACUGAGUUAAUGA